rnacentral:rRNA from 1 species
UACGGAGGGUGCAAGCGUUGUCCGGAAUCACUGGGCGUAAAGGGCGCGUAGGCGGCUCAUGAAGGCUGUGGUGAAAGUCCGGGGCUCAACCUCGGAUCGGCCGUGGCGACUCGUGGGCUGGAGCACUGUAGAGGCGGGUGGAAUUCCGGGUGUAGCGGUGGAAUGCGUAGAGAUCCGGAAGAACACCAGUGGCGAAGGCGGCCCGCUGGGCAGUGGCUGACGCUGAAGCGCGACAGCGUGGGGAGCAAACAGG